rnacentral:rRNA from 1 species
GAUGAACGCUGGCGGCGUGCCUAAUACAUGCAAGUCGAGCGAACGGACGAGAAGCUUGCUUCUCUGAUGUUAGCGGCGGACGGGUGAGUAACACGUGGAUAACCUACCUAUAAGACUGGGAUAACUUCGGGAAACCGGAGCUAAUACCGGAUAAUAUUUUGAACCGCAGGGUUCAAAAGUGAAAGACGGUCUUGCUGUCACUUAUAGAUGGAUCCGCGCUGCAUUAGCUAGUUGGUAAGGUAACGGCUUACCAAGGCAACGAUGCAUAGCCGACCUGAGAGGGUGAUCGGCCACACUGGAACUGAGACACGGUCCAGGCUCCUACGGGAGGCAGCAGUAGGGAAUCUUCCGCAAUGGGCGAAAGCCUGACGGAGCAACGCCGCGUGAGUGAUGAAGGUCUUCGGAUCGUAAAGCUCUGUUAUUGGGGAAGAACAGAUGUGUAAGUAACUGUGCACAUCUUGACGGUACCUAAUCAGAAAGCCCCGGCUAACUACGUG